CUUAGGUCGGUAGGUCCUCAGGACGGAAAGACCUCAGGACGGAAGGUUCUUAGGUCGGUAGGUCCUCAGGACGGAAAGACCUCAGGUCGGAAGGUCCGCAAGACGGAAAGACCUCAAGUCGGAAGGUCUUCAGGUCGGGAGGUCCGCAAGACGGAAAGACCUCAAGUCGGAAGGUCUUCAGGUCGGGAGGUCCGCAAGACGGAAAGACGAUGAGUCGGAAGGUUUUCAAGUCGGGAGGUCCUCGAGACGGAAAGUCGUCGAGAUGGGAUAUCCGCAGGUCGGGUAAAUUGUAGGUCGGAUAGAAGGCGGAGUCGGACAAACGCGGAAGCCUUUGAUCAAAGACAGGGGGCGGUUGAUAUGGAGGUCGGCCCAAGUGGGGUCGGGCGAAGAAGUAGGUCGGACGAAGGACGAAGUCGGGCCAAAAGAGCGGAAGGUUUGUGGUCGGCUCAAGGAGUGAAAU